GUUAAACGCUGGCGGCAUGCCUUACACAUGCAAGUCGAACGGCAGCACGGGGGCAACCCUGGUGGCGAGUGGCGGACGGGUGAGUAACACAUCGGAACGUGCCCUGGAGUGGGGGAUAACGCAGCGAAAGCUACGCUAAUACCGCAUAUUCUGUGAGCAGGAAAGCAGGGGAUCGCAAGACCUUGCGCUUUGGGAGCGGCCGAUGUCGGAUUAGCUAGUUGGUGGGGUAAAGGCUUACCAAGGCGACGAUCCGUAGCGGGUCUGAGAGGAUGAUCCGCCACACUGGGACUGAGACACGGCCCAGACUCCUACGGGAGGCAGCAGUGGGGAAUUUUGGACAAUGGGCGGAAGCCUGAUCCAGCCAUGCCGCGUGAGUGAAGAA
rnacentral:rRNA from 1 species